CGAGUGAAGAGGGAAGAGCCCAAGAUUGAAAGCUGGCGUCUUCGACGUCCGCAUUGUAAUCUCAAGAAGUGUUUUCCGCUUCGGACCAUGCCUAAGUCCCUUGGAAAAGGGCAUCAUAGAGGGUGAUAAUCCCGUACAUGGCAUGGAGCGCCCGAGGCUUUGUGAUACGCUUUCUAAGAGUCGAGUUGUUUGGGAAUGCAGCUCAAAAUGGGUGGUAAAUGCCAUCUAAGGCUAAAUAUUGGGGAGAGACCGAUAGCGAACAAGUACAGUGAUGGAAAGAUGAAAAGAACUUUGAAAAGAGAGUUAAACAGUACGUGAAAUUGCCAAAAGGGAAGGGUAGGAGGUCAGAGAUGCGUCUUGGGAUUCAGCCUUGCUUUUGCUUGGUGUUUUUCCCAAGUUGCAGGCCAACGUCGGUUUUGGGCACUGGAGAAGGGUGGAAGGAACGUGGCACCUCUCGGGGUGUGUUAUAGCCUUCCACUGGAUACAGCGACCGAGACCGAGGACAGCAGCGUACUCGCAAGAGCGGGCCUUCGGGCACCUUUACGCUUAGG
rnacentral:rRNA from 2 species